UCGUGGAGUGAUCUGUCUGGUUGAUUCCGUUAACGAACGAGAUCUCGGCCUCUCAGUGACAGCUAUGAUCGUUCGUAGGCAACGGUGUCUUCGGGCACCAGCUGAGAUCUGGCCUUCGUACUCAGAGGGAUUACGCAUGUUUCCAAUGCGUUGAGAACCGAGCCAAUAGCA
rnacentral:rRNA from 1 species